CACGUAGGGCGCGAGCGUUGUCCGGAAUUAUUGGGCGUAAAGAGCUCGUAGGCGGCCUGUUGCGUCCGCUGUGAAAGCCCCGGGGCUUAACCCCGGGUCGGCAGUGGAUACGGGCAGGCUAGAGGUAGGUAGGGGAGAAUGGAAUUCCCGGUGUAGCGGUGAAAUGCGCAGAUAUCGGGAGGAACACCGGUGGCGAAGGCGGUUCUCUGGGCCUGUACUGACGCUGAGGAGCGAAAGCGUGGGGAGCGAACAGG
rnacentral:rRNA from 1 species